ACGAGGGAGCGUCCGCGGCCCGCGCAGAGCCGCGCACCAAGCCGAUGGCGGUGGACGCAGCAGGGCCCCGCGGUCUGAGUGCGGGCAGGCGCGCGUGGGCGUGUCUCCCUGGCCCACGCGUGUCCCCGGCAUCAGUGUCUCGGCUCUGGUCCAGGACGAAGACUUCUGAAAGCGAGCCAAGGAGAAUCACAGUUCUUAACGGAGCCCCUGACUGCCCGGUGGAAGGAGGUGAUUUAGAAGACAGUGAGUUGAUCUGGGGCAAAGUGAAGCAUCAGUAGCGCCUUCCAUCCCUUCACCUCACCUGGAUCUCUUCACUUCACUCCACGUCUGUCGUCUCCCAUGCAUGAAGCAACAUGGCCAAGUGAAGCUGCAACCAGUAAAGUGUAAGGUAUCAAGUAGUGACAAUGAUGGUGUCAAAUAAUUGCUAUUUUUAGACUCAGCUACUGUUCCCAUCGAGAUGCAAAGGACACAGAGCUCACGGGUGCUCCAGCAAUGCUGGUGUCAUGUUUGGAGGUAGCUGUCUAUGGACUACAGUAUUCUCCCAGUGCUAGUCUGCAGUCACUGCAAAGCCUCCCAAUAGAACAUUUCUUCCUGAGCCAACCUAUCAGUGCAGCUCUGGAAGCAAAUGACCUCUCCUGGCAGAGCCUUCACUGUGUGGGGAACAUCAGAUUUGUGUAAAGAAGAUCACCUGUCUCUUCUCAGGUGUGCACUGUAGAGAAGCUGCUGCGAAGGCCACAGGUCACUCAGGAAAAUUUGGGGCAGUUUUCUAGGUUCAAGGGAGACUGGACAUCAAAGCUGCACUGGGACAUAUGGACGCCUUGAUCCACUUUGGCCAUUCCACCUCAGCUCAGAAUUACUCACUGGUGUCAGAGUGAUUAAUUUCACUUUCAGUGCCUUCCUUCCCGAGUGGAGUGCUUCUGUAGAGACUCCUAAUUCAGUGAAACCUGUCCAGGGGAUCAUCCCUGCUAGACAGACAGCUGCGAGAGGCCAGUGGCUUCCCAGCAUGGAUUUCAGAUUAUGGCCAAUCAAGAGCUGGGGCUGUGGAACACCUGUUGGCAGCGACACUGGCUAAGGACGGAUGAGGAGAUGAGCUCUUUAAUCGAAUUUCAUUGUACUUCAGAAAAAAGGUUUAUUUUCAA
rnacentral:lncRNA from 1 species